GUGAGUUUGGAACCUGGCUCAGGACGAACGCUGGCCGCGUGCUUAACACAUGCAAGUCGAACGCUGAAGCUGGGUGCUUGCACCUGGUGGAUGAGUGGCGAACGGGUGAGUAAUACGUGAGUGACCUUCCUUGGACUCUGGGAUAAGCCGGCGAAACUGCGUCUAAUACCGGAUACGACCAGUCCUCGCAUGCCGUGCUGGUGGAAAGCGUAUGUACUGGUUCUUGAUGGGCUCACGUCCUAUCAGCUUGUUGGUGAGGUAAUGGCUUACCAAGGCGACGACGGGUAGCCGGCCUGAGAGCGUGACCGGCCACACUGGGACUGAGACACGGCCCAGACUCCUACGGGAGGCAGCAGUGGGGAAUAUUGCACAAUGGGCGCAAGCCUGAUGCAGCGACGCCGCGUGGGGGAUGACGGCCUUCGCGUUGUAAACCUCUAUCAGCACCGAAGAAGCGAAAGUGACGGUACCUGCAGAAGAAGCGCGCGCUAACUACGUGCCAGCAGCGGCGGUAAUACGUAGCGCGCAAGCGUGUCCGGAAUUAUUGGGCGUAAUGAGCUCGUAGGCGGUUUGUCGCGUCUGCUGUGAAAGCCCGGCCCUCAACCCAGGGUGUGCAGUGGGUACGGGCAGGCUGGAGUGCAGUACCGGAGACUGGAAUUCCUGGUGUAGCGGUGAAAUGCGCAGAUAUCAGGAGGAACACCGAUGGCGAAGGCAGGUCUCUGGGCUGUUACUGACGCUGAGGAGCGAAAGCAUGCCGAGCGAACAGG
rnacentral:rRNA from 1 species